rnacentral:rRNA from 1 species
GCCCGCCCGUAAACUUUAAAUUACACCUACAUCGCCUGAGAACUACGAGCAAAGCUUAAAACUCAAAGAACUUGACGGUACCCCAUAUCCCCCUAGAGGAGCCUGUCCUGUAAUCGAUAACCCCCGUUUUACCUCACCAUUUUUAGCUAACCAGCCUGUAUACCUCCGUCGUCAGCUUACCACGUGAGCGAAAUUCAGUGAGCUUAAUGCUUUUACACCAAUACGUCAGGUCAAGGUGCAGCAAAUGAAAUGGGAAGAGAUGGGCUACACUUUCUAACAUAGAAGACACAAAAGACUUUAUGAAACUUAGUCUGAAGGCGGAUUUAGCAGUAAAAAGAAAUCAGAGUGUUCUUUUUAACACGGCACUGGGGUGUGUACACACCGCCCGUCACCCUCUUCAUUUAGCCAAAAAAUGUACCUAACUAAUUAACGCACACUAGAAGAGGCAAGUCGUAACAUGGUAAGUAUACCGGAAGGUGUGCUUGGAAA